AAAAAUAGCUCUAAGGAACCGCUUUCAUUGUGUGCACCUGCCUAUUCAUCCAGACACUCCGAGGAAGCUCCUGGAAAUGAAAUACGGCUUCGUCCACACGAUAAAUCACACUCAGAAAGGAACUCUCUGCCCACAAGAUCCCUGUGAAAUGUCGCCUCGAAUGAAGAUAGCUCCUGCCAGGUACAUAAACUCACUACCUGCAGAGACAAAAUGGCAUGGCUGCAGGCAUUUAAGUGACAAUAGCUAUGUUGAUGAGAACGGAAUAAUGUAUAAAACCACGAAGAAAAGCAAAACAUUUUUCUGAGGCUCAUCUAAAAAGGGCCUGGACAGGAGCUCCCAUUGUGGUUCAUUGGGUUAAGAACCUGCCUAGUACCCAUGAGGAUGCAGGUUCCAUCCCUGGCCUCCCUCAGUGGAUGGGGGAUCUGGCGUUGCCAUGAACUGUGGUGUAGGUCACAGACGCGGCUCGGAUCUGGUGUUGCUGUGGCUGUGGCGAA
rnacentral:lncRNA from 1 species